UACGUAGGGUGCAAGCGUUGUCCGGAAUUAUUGGGCGUAAAGAGCUCGUAGGCGGUCUGUCGCGUCUGCUGUGAAAACUCAGGGCUUAACCCUGAGCUUGCAGUGGGUACGGGCAGACUAGAGUGCGGUAGGGGAGUCUGGAAUUCCUGGUGUAGCGGUGAAAUGCGCAGAUAUCAGGAGGAACACCGGUGGCGAAGGCGGGACUCUGGGCCGAUACUGACGCUGGAGGAGCGAAAGCGUGGGGAGCGAACAGG
rnacentral:rRNA from 1 species